rnacentral:rRNA from 1 species
UACAGAGGGUGCGAGCGUUAAUCGGAAUUACUGGGCGUAAAGCGUGCGUAGACGGUUAUUUAAGUCAGAUGUGAAAUCCCCGGGCUUAACCUGGGAACUGCAUUUGUGACUGCAUGGCUGGAGUGCGGCAGAGGGGGAUGGAAUUCCGCGUGUAGCAGUGAAAUGCGUAGAUAUGCGGAGGAACACCGAUGGCGAAGGCAAUCCCCUGGGCCUGCACUGACGCUCAUGCACGAAAGCGUGGGGAGCAAACAGG